GCCUCAGUGGUGUAGUGGUAUCAAGCGCCUCCGCUAUAGGUGAAACGCCGGUUCAACUCCCGCCUGAGAUC